rnacentral:rRNA from 1 species
AUUCACAACCAAGCUCAAGAGAAGUACAAUUUAUUUGUGACACCUCAAACGUCAAUUUGUAAUACCAUGGUGAGGGUGUCUAAACAGGAUCUGCGUCUUUACAAGGCUAGGCUAACUUAUUCACUAAGAUGCUUGAGGUUUCUUUUGAACCAAGGAUUGGCAUUUCGUGGACAUGAUGAGAGUGAAGAAUCUAGCAAUAGGGGGAACUUUCUUGAACUUCUAAAAUGGCUUGCAGAAAAUGAUGAAGAAGUUGAUAAGAUUGUUUUGGACAAUGCUCCUGGAAACUGCAUCUUGACUAGUCCAACGAUACAAAAACAAAUUAUUGAAUGUUGUGCUGUGCUAACUACAAAACAAAUUAUUGAAGAUCUUGGUGAUGAGCACUAUGCAAUCCUAGCUGAUGAGUCUAGUGAUGCAUCUCAUAAAGAGCAACUUGCUAUUUGCAUACGUUAUGUUGAUAAAGUUGGAAAGGGGUGUGAGAGGUUUCUUGGAGUUGUUCAUGUUGCCAACACAACUUCCUUGUCACUUAAAGCUGCAAUUGAAUCUUUGCUUACCGAUCAUCAUUUGACUCUUACUCAAAUCCGUGGGCAAGGAUAUGACGGGGCUAGCAACAUGAAAGGAGAGAUUAAAGGGUUGAAAACAUUGAUCAUGAAAGAGUCGCCCUCUGCUUAUUACAUUCAUUGCUUUGCACAUCAACUUCAAUUGGUUCUUAUUGCCGUGGCAAAGGGAAAUGAACCAUGUAAAUGGUUUUUUGAUCAUGUUUCUUACUUGCUGAAUAUUGUUGGAGUUUCUUGCAAGCGUCAUGACAUGCUUCGAGAUGUUAGAGCUCAAAAGGUUCUGGAAGCACUUGAAAUGGGUGAAAUUGAAAGUGGAAGUGGGUUAAAUCAAGAGAUGGGAUUAGCUAGACCCGGUGAUACUCGGUGGGGUUCUCAUUUUCGAACCAUUCUGCACAUUAUU